rnacentral:rRNA from 1 species
AUUGAACGCUGGCGGCGUGCUUAACACAUGCAAGUCGAGCGGUAACAGGUGUAGCAAUACAUGCUGACGAGCGGCGAACGGGUGAGUAAUGCUUCGGAAUCUUCCUCGUAGUGGGGAACAACCUGGGGAAACUCAGGCUAAUACCGCAUACGAACUACGGUUGAAAGCAGGGGAUCGCAAGACCUUGCGCUAUGAGAUGAGCCGAAGUCGGAUUAGCUAGUUGGUGAGGUAAAGGCUCACCAAGGCGACGAUCCGUAGCUGGUCUGAGAGGACGACCAGCCACACUGGGACUGAGACACGGCCCAGACUCCUACGGGAGGCAGCAGUGGGGAAUAUUGGACAAUGGGCGCAAGCCUGAUCCAGCGACGCCGCGUGGGGGAUGAAGGUUUUCGGAUUGUAAACCCCUUUCAUGAGGAAAGAUAAAGUGGGUAACCACUUAGACGGUACCUCAAGAAGAAGCCACGGCUAACUUCGUGCCAGCAGCCGCGGUAAAG